CAUGCCGAGAACAGAGAAGCAGGGAAAAUCUACCACAGAAAAGAAUGGAGAAACUUGCCUUGAUGACAAACUCCGGUGUGGGUUUUCAAAGAUCAGUAUAUAAACAAAAACAUUGUCCCCUCUAUAGAGGCCAUUUAUCAAGUCUACAGAGGCUCAUCUUGAAGGUCACAGGGGUCAAAUGGGAGUCCUGUCUGCCGAGGAGGAGGAUGAAUAAUAAAUGCAGUCUGAAGUUUGGAUUCAACGUGUUCAGACUACUGAGCAGAGCUGAGCCCAUCCACAGCCCCGGCCUGAGCCAGUGCCCUAUGAUACGAUUCUUGGG
ensembl:lncRNA